rnacentral:rRNA from 1 species
UACGUAGGCAGCAAGCGUUGUUCGGAGUUACUGGGCGUAAAGGGUGUGUAGGCGGUUGUUUAAGUUUGGUGUGAAAUCUCCCGGCUCAACCGGGAGGGUGCGCCGAAUACUGAAUGACUUCGAGUGCGGGAGAGGAGAGUGGAAUUCCUGGUGUAGCGGUGAAAUGCGUAGAUAUCAGGAGGAACACCGGUGGUGUAGACGGCUCUCUGGACCGUAACUGACGCUGAGACACGAAAGCGUGGGUAGCAAACAGG